GUUAGCGAUUUUACCAGAGGGGAAACACCCGUUCCCAUUUCGAACACGGCAGUUAAGACCUCUAGGGCCAAUGGUAUUGCACGGGCAACCGUGUGGGAGAGUAGGACGUCGCUAACU
rfam:Candidatus Firestonebacteria bacterium RIFOXYC2_FTLL_39_67 rifoxyc2_full_scaffold_374, whole genome shotgun sequence.